rnacentral:rRNA from 1 species
CCUACGGGAGGCAGCAGUGAGGAAUAUUGGUCAAUGGACGAGAGUCUGAACCAGCCAAGUAGCGUGAAGGAUGACUGCCCUAUGGGUUGUAAACUUCUUUUAUAUGGGAAUAAAAUGUUCCACGUGUGGGAUUUUGUAUGUACCAUAUGAAUAAGGAUCGGCUAACUCCGUGCCAGCAGCCGCGGUAAUACGGAGGAUCCGAGCGUUAUCCGGAUUUAUUGGGUUUAAAGGGAGCGUAGGUGGAUUGUUAAGUCAGUUGUGAAAGUUUGCGGCUUAACCGUAGAAUUGCAGUUGAAACUGGCAGUCUUGAGUACAGUAGAGGUGGGUGGAAUUCGUGGUGUAGCGGUGAAAUGCUUAGAUAUCACGAAGAACUCCGAUUGCGAAGGCAGUUCACUGGACUGCAACUGACACUGAGGCUCGAAAGUGUGGGUAUCAAACAGGAUUAGAUACCCCAGUAGUC